ensembl:lncRNA
CGUACGGAGGCAAUGUGGAGGCUAUAUACAGGGGGUACCGGUACAGAGUCAAUGUGGAGGCUAUAUACAGGGUGUACCGGUACAGAUCAAUGUGGAGGUUAAAUACAGGGGGUACCAGUACAGAGUCAAUGUGGAGGCUAUAUACAGGGGGUACCGGUACAGAGUCAAUGUGGAGGCUAUAUACAGGGGGUACAGGUACAGAGUCAAUGUGGAGGCUAUAUACAGGGGUACCGGUACAGAGUCAAUGUGGAGGCUAUAUACAGGGGGUACCAGUACAGAGUCAAUGUCAAGGCUAUAUACAGGGGGUACCUGUACAGAGUCAAUGUGGAGGCUAUAUACAGGGGGUACCUGUACAGAGUCAAUGUGGAGGCUAUAUACAGGGGGUACCAGUACAGAGUCAAUAUGGAGGCUAUAUACAGGGGGUACCAGUACAGAGUCAAUGUGGAGGCUAUAUACAGGGUGUUACGGUACAGAGUCAAUGUGGAGGCUAUAUACAGGGUAUUACGGUACAGAGUCAAUGUGGAGGCUAUAUAUAUAGGGGGUACCGGUACAGAGUCAGUGUGGAGGCUAUAUACAGGGUAUUACGGUACAGGGUCAACGUGGAGGCUAUAUACAGGGGGUACCAGUACAGAGUCAAUGUGGAGGCUAUAUACAGGGUGUUACGGUACAGAGUCAAUGUGGAGGCUAUAUACAGGGGGUACCAGUACAGAGUCAAUGUGGAGGCUAUAUACAGGGUGUUACGGUACAGAGUCAAUGUGGAGGCUAUAUACAGGGGGUACCGGUACAGAGUCCGUGUGGAGGCUAUAUACAGGG